rnacentral:rRNA from 1 species
UACGGAGGGGGUUAGCGUUGUUCGGAAUUACUGGGCGUAAAGCGCGCGUAGGCGGAUUAGAAAGUUGGGGGUGAAAUCCCGGGGCUCAACCCCGGAACUGCCUCCAAAACUACUAGUCUAGAGUUCGAAAGAGGUGAGUGGAAUUCCGAGUGUAGAGGUGAAAUUCGUAGAUAUUCGGAGGAACACCAGUGGCGAAGGCGGCUCACUGGCUCGAUACUGACGCUGAGGUGCGAAAGUGUGGGGAGCAAACAGG